AAUCAAUGACAAUCGGUAAAUUUUCUGUCAGACCGUUUGACAGCUGUUCUAUGCGCUUCUGGAAUAAAAUCGAAUUGCGCAUUAAAUAAUUGAUUUUCAAGCAAUAUUAUUCAUAAAAAAUUCAAAAUGUCAAGAUACCGUGAGUGGGAUCUUUCGUGCAAAGUUUACAUUGGAAAUUUAGGCUCUUCAGCUACUAAACAUGAUAUUGAGACUCAUUUUAGUAAAUAUGGCCCUUUGCGCAAUGUGUGGGUUGCUAGAAAUCCACCAGGAUUUGCUUUUGUAGAAUACGAGGAUCCAAGGGAUGCUCAGGAUGCUGUGAGGGGUCUUGAUGGAACCCGUUGCUGUGGAACACAUGUCAAAGUUGAAAUGUCUUCAGGUAGAUCUCGUAGAAUGAAUUCAUCAAGAGGUUCCAGGAGGCGUUCUAGGCACUUUGUCAUUUAACACGUACUUUAGCAGCCUGUAAAUACUGGUCUUUGCUACCAGUUAAUUUCUAUAGAAGUAACAACCCGUCUUUCAAAAUUAUGACAACCACUUUCGCCCAUGACAACAUGUCCAGCCAUUUGAGAUGAACCAACAACAUUGGUUGCACCAUCCAUCUGACUCCUGUUGGAUACAUCUUUAUUUAUUCAUCUUUAAUGCAACUUGGCUGAUCCCCAAUACAACUUUAACAUCAACACAUCAUGCGGUUUGAAAGUCGCGUUCACCAAGGAGGCGAUCGAGGAGCAACUCUCGCAAACCAAGAAGUCGUUCUUAUUCAAGAGAUAGGUACUAACCUAACUAUAUUUGACAAAGCAAUUGAUC